rnacentral:snoRNA from 1 species
UUCUAUGAAGAUAACUUUGUCCAGUUCUGCUACUGAGUGACUGAUUGAUUGAUAUUUUUGACUCUGAGAA